UACAGAGGUCUCAAGCGUUGUUCGGAUUCAUUGGGCGUAAAGGGUGCGUAGGCGGCGCGGUAAGUCGGGUGUGAAAUCUCGGAGCUUAACUCCGAAACUGCAUUCGAUACUGCCGUGCUUGAGGACUGGAGAGGAGACUGGAAUUUACGGUGUAGCGGUGAAAUGCGUAGAUAUCGUAAGGAAGACCAUUGGCGAAGGCGGGUCUCUGGACAGUUCCUGACGCUGAGGCACGAAGGUCAGGGGAGCAAACGGG
rnacentral:rRNA from 1 species